UGGCCCAUUGGUCAAGUGGUUAAGACUCCGGUUUUUCACACCGGCAUCCAGGGUUCAAUUCCCUGAUGGGCUAUC
rnacentral:tRNA from 2 species